GAACUGAAGAGUUUGAUCAUGGCUCAGAUUGAACGCUGGCGGCAGGCCUAACACAUGCAAGUCGAGCGGUAGAGAGAAGCUUGCUUCUCUUGAGAGCGGCGGACGGGUGAGUAAUGCCUAGGAAUCUGCCUGGUAGUGGGGGAUAACGUUCGGAAACGGACGCUAAUACCGCAUACGUCCUACGGGAGAAAGCAGGGGACCUUCGGGCCUUGCGCUAUCAGAUGAGCCUAGGUCGGAUUAGCUAGUUGGUGAGGUAAUGGCUCACCAAGGCGACGAUCCGUAACUGGUCUGAGAGGAUGAUCAGUCACACUGGAACUGAGACACGGUCCAGACUCCUACGGGAGGCAGCAGUGGGGAAUAUUGGACAAUGGGCGAAAGCCUGAUCCAGCCAUGCCGCGUGUGUGAAGAAGGUCUUCGGAUUGUAAAGCACUUUAAGUUGGGAGGAAGGGCAGUUACCUAAUACGU
rnacentral:rRNA from 1 species